UUUUUUUUCCUUCUUUUAUGUAGUUUCUUUCCCCAUAGAAGUUGUCUUCUUGUUCCCUUAGUAUGUUGUGUUGUGGUUUCCCUAAUAACGUUGGAUUUGUAGUGGUCCUGUUAUUGACUGCUUUUGUUUUUGUUGUGCGUACUGUUUGUAUGGUUUUGGUCCCCAAUUAGUGCAGACUGUUUUAUGAUAUUGUCCCAUUAGUGCGUACUAUUUUGUCUUUUGUAAUGUUGAAUUUGUGGUUGUUG
rnacentral:lncRNA from 1 species